UACGUAGGGUGCAAGCGUUAAUCGGAAUUACUGGGCGUAAAGCGUGCGCAGGUGGUUUUGUAAGUCUGACGUGAAAGCCCCGGGCUCAACCUGGGAAUUGCGAUGGAGACUGCAAGGCUUGAAUCUGGCAGAGGGGGGUAGAAUUCCACGUGUAGCAGUGAAAUGCGUAGAGAUGUGGAGGAACACCGAUGGCGAAGGCAGCCCCCUGGGUCAAGAUUGACGCUCAUGCACGAAAGCGUGGGGAGCAAACAGG
rnacentral:rRNA from 1 species